ACUAUAAGUCACUGUAAGUCGCUCUGGAUGAGAGUGUCUGCUAAAUGACUAAAA
rfam:Salmo salar isolate Sally breed double haploid chromosome ssa29, whole genome shotgun sequence.